ACGUUUGGCGCAAUGAAAGUGAACCGUUUACGGUGCGGACGAUGGCCUAGCGACCGAACCCACCGGCGUUCAAAGUCGCGCUGGUCCGCAGUCCGGGGGCGUCUCCGCCAAGUCGGCUUCGGCCGGCUGGGGGCGCACCCUUAGCGCACACGUUGGUACCCGAAAGAUGGUGAACUAUGCCUGGCCAGGAUGAAGUCAGGGGAAACCCUGAUGGAGGUCCGCAGCGAUUCUGACGUGCAAAUCGAUCGUCUGAGCUGGGUAUAGGGGCGAAAGACUAAUCGAACCAUCUAGUAGCUGGUUCCAUCCGAAGUUUCCCUCAGGAUAGCUGGCGCCGAUGUGUCCCGCCCGUUCGCGGGCGUACGGACGCCGGUGGGACUCCGCGCUGUACGGCGCGGUAACAACACGCUCGUAACACGGAGGAUGUCUCAUACGGUAAAGCGAAUGAUUAGAGGACAUUGGGGCCGAAACGACCUCAACCUAUUCUCAAACUAUAAAUGAGUGAGAUCGCCGGCUUUACCUGGUACACCGCGUGAACCGCGUGCGAAGCCGGCGACGGAACCCUAGGCGCUUAGUGGGCCAUUUUUGGUAAGCAGAACUGGCGCUGCGGGAUGAACCGAACGCCGAGUUAAGGCGCCGAAAUCGACGCGUAUUCAGAGACCAUGAAAGGCGUUGGUUGCUGAUGACAGCAGGACGGUGGCCAUGGAAGUCGGAAUCCGCUAAGGAGUGUGUAACAACUCACCUGCCGAAGCAACUAGCUCUGAAAAUGGAUGGCGCUGGAGCGUCGUGCCUAUACUCGGGCCGUCGACGGCAUAGUGGGGCCAGUCGUCGCUCGCGGCGGGCCGGUCCCGGCAAGCCUCGACGAGUAGAUGGCGCGGCGGUGUGCGUCGAAGGGCAGGUCGCGAGACCGCCUGGAGCCGCCGUCGGUGCAGAUCUUGGUGGUAGUAGCAAUACUCGAGAGGGG
rfam:Acyrthosiphon pisum strain LSR1 Contig1380, whole genome shotgun sequence.